rnacentral:lncRNA from 1 species
UGUAGUUGUUGUAACAAUAUAUCAAGGUCCUCAGAACUCUCUGAGUCGCUUGUGUUCUCAGGCGUUUUUAAUUCGGUCAAGUCUGGGUAGAGCCUUCUCCUAUUUUUAUCUUCAGGCUCUUUUGCCUUCUCACUACUGUUACUUUUAAUACUCUCUGCCACUUCACUACAUGAUCCUUCAGAUUUUUCCUCAUGCAGUUGCUCAAGAAUAGCUUGACCCUCACUCACAGCUUCCUGGCAUUUACCAUCUGUUAUACAUCCUCUAACUAACUUCCAAAGUGGUAUAAUGCCACCCUGCAAGGUACCUUGCUCAUGAGCGAAAUCUAGAUCUUUCCCUAAUUUGUCCCAGCUGGGAACCGUAAGACUCCCUGAAAAAGCAAACCAAGGAGCCGCUAUAUCAGCUUCUCUUAAAAACAUCUGCAAAGUGCUCUGCUUUAUCUUAAGUCCUUUUGAAUGUAACAACCCAUCUAGGGCCAGGAGAAGCGGACUUGAAGAUGCGGCACCCAUGACACAACAACAAAAGAAGCACAAAAAACAAAAGCGAAAUGACACAACAAAAGAAACACAGAAAACAAAAGCGAAAGUAGAAGCGAAAGUACACAGUGCAGCUGCAAUAAAAUGUAAUGCUCUCUCUUUCUUUACAGAGGAGCUGCCCCGCUUUGGUCGCGGAUCCCACUUACCUGGGACUAACC